UACGGAAGGCAGCAGUGGGGAAUAUUGCACAAUGGGCGAAAGCCUGAUGCAGCUAUGCCGCGUGUAUGAAGAAGGCCUUAGGGUUGUAAAGUACUUUCAUCGGGGAGGAAAAAACAAAACUAAUAAUUUUAUUUCUUGACGUUACCCGAAAAAGAAGCACCGGCUAACUCCGUGCCAGCAGCCGCGGUAAUACGGAGGGUGCAAGCGUUAAUCGGAAUUACUGGGCGUAAAGCGCACGCAGGCGGUCUGUUUAAAGUCAGAUGUGAAAUCCCCCGGGCUUAACCUGGGAACUGCAUUUUGAAACUGGCAGGCUUGAGUCUUGUAGAGGGGGGUAGAAUUCCAGGUGUAGCGGUGAAAUGCGUAGAGAUCUGGAGGAAUACCGGUGGCGAAGGCGGCCCCUGGCAAAGACUGACGCUCAGGUGCGAAAGCGUGGGGAGCAAACAGGGAUUAGAUACC
rnacentral:rRNA from 1 species